ensembl:lncRNA
AAAUCACGUGAUUUCAGUGAAACUUCAUUGGAAAUUUCAGUGGUUCGCCGCUAGGGGUGUUGUCUGUCAUCCAUAAGUAUAUCAGAAGUCAACACCAGUCCGCUUCGAGGUCGAUAGCCUAGUGAGCAGCGCGCAGACAUGGCAUGCCGAUAGUCUUCAAGCAUCCGGAGUUCGAGUCCCAGCUCGCGAACUCCCACUUCGCUACAAAUAUUCUCGGUCAUCCCACUUCGCUUUAAGACCGAUGUCAUGAUGUUCGGGUAUCCCUGUGAGCGCCUCCGACGUCCGUGGUUCAACAUGAAAAACAGCAGUGUACAGCACCGGGUCGACGGCAUCCCUGCGAGACAAAAGUGUGCUUCGGAAAUCUUGAUUCCGAGGAUGCCUUCAAAACCGAAAGCCUCGUAGCUUCGUCGGUUUGUGCGCUUCGGAUAUCCUGAGUUCGGGUACGAGUCCCUCUUCGCUUAAUAACAGCAAUUUCAAAUUGCCGAAAAUUUGGCAUCAUGUCUUCAUAUAAGUAUCUGUUGCAAGUGUUUCACCUCAUUGUGACGGGCCGGAUCUCUGGAUUUCUGGACUGGAAUACAAGUGCGAAUCCGGACAAGGCCAUUGAUCAACAAACAACUAAAUUAAGAAGGUUCAAAAGGACACGCAUACGAAAACUGCAUUCAUGGAUAUGCAACAGACUGUGUUUGUAGCUGUUGAGAGUACUGGUCCCUCAUCCAAUUCAACAAGCCACAAGGAAGAUGUAUCUCUCAACUGCAGCAUUACGAAUGAAGAAUUCACCGUUCCUUGCAUGAGCUCCUCUGAUGUGGAAGCUUGCAUUGAAAUGUUAAAAUCACAUCCAGGUCCACUGUUGUUCAGAAAUGGAGUGCUCUAUAGACAGUCUGAUAUCAAAAACUGGAAUGAAUUCCGGUUAAGAAGAGAGCCAGUGUGCUUGAUCAAACUAAAACGAGAAAACAGAAUCAGGUCCUGUUAUGGAGUCUAUCUGGGGAAUGAUUACACCUUGACUGCCUGUCAUACAUUUGAGUACGCUUGUCUAUAUGACGCAUAUGUUUUCUUCCCCACCACAGACUUUGUUCUGAUUUAUGAGGCAGAACUUCCCAAAGAACAGCACAUGUUUCAUGACAAAGAUCAGUGCCUUGUUAAAUUACUCGGGCAAACAGAUGUUUUGGGAAAAGGUUUACUUGACCGCAUUUGUGCACCCAGUAAGAACAAGGAUUUAUAUUUCUACACAUUUAAUAACCAGGGUGAUCUUCAAAUGCACACAUGCAAAGAUAUCACUCAUUCCUCUGCCAUGAAUGAGAAAAACCAAAGAAAUGAGUUUCUGAUGUCCACGGCAGGUCAGCCAGGUGAAAGUGGCAAUCCUGUUUUCAGUUUGAGAUCCAAAAAAUGUGUGGGAAUAUACAAAGGUAUCACAAAGUCAAAGAAAGGAUGUGCAUCACAAAUAGAUUACAAACAGUUGAUAGAAAAUACAACAUCAGGAAGAACAGAUCUGUACUGUUUGAACAUGCUCUACAGCAUCUUGUCCACUUUUAAGACUAGAUUUUUCUUUUUGCUGACCCCAAACAAUCAAACCUCUGCUGAUGAUUCAGAUUGAAGUGGUGGUGUAUCUGGUCUCAAAUCUUAAAGGGAGUCCAUAUCCUCUCUUUAGGCUCAUUUAAAAAUGUGCCAGACCCAUCACCGGUGAUCCCUGUGAGAUGUGUGCUGGUUAGAAAUGUGUCUGAGUGCGCUCCGACUUGUUCCAUUCUCUGUAUUGAAUAGAUGAUUGUUGUCAUAAAAAAAUAAAAAAAUAAAAAUGGAUGGAAAACA